CUAGGAAUCAAAGUAAAGGCACUGAGCAUUAUCUCCCGUCGCUCGCUUCGCAUUAUUUUUGUUUGGUUACAUUCUGCGAAACAAAAAACGGGGAAUCACACAGCACUCAUAGGGCAAAGAUUCAGUUAGACUUGGCACAUACGAGAAUCAAGUUGCGUUUCGCAAGCAGGUAUAAAUAUGCAGUUCUACAAUUCGUUGUCACAGUCUUGAAAAAAUGUUUCAUUGGGGAUUUGCUUUGCUUUUUACUGUAUUGUGUGCCGUCAGCCAUGGGCACACUUCAUGCUGUGAGAAACAGACAUCAUUUUACAUCCCAAACACGAAGCUUAAUUGGAUCGGAGCUGUACAAUAUUGCAAUCGAAUCGGUAUGCGGCUGGCGGUGGUUAACAGUGAAGCGAAAAAUCUUGCAGUUCUUGAGACAAUUCAUUCAGCCAAGGCAGACGGCAUAGAUCUAUCCAACGCGUGGAUAGGAGCGAGCGAUAUUUCCAAAGAAGGCACCUUCGUAUGGCUAGCCACAGGGUUGCCGGUAUACUAUAGCAAUUGGUCUGAGAGCAAUCCCGACAAUGAGGCAGGAAUAGAAAAUUGCGUGGAAAUUGCAUAUCAUGCUUACACACAAUGGAAAUGGCGCUGGAACGAUAACAAAUGCCAUGCGGUGCUCAAUUUUGUUUGUGAAUUUAACUUCAAUACUCUUGAUAUGAUUCAAGAAUUCUAAAAAAAUUGCGAUAUGUUUGCAGAAUGAUGUGAAUGUGUGUGAAUAUCAAUUACUUUUAUGGGUCUUUCCGAACCAAUCUGAUUAAUAAAAUACUAAUGAAUCCA